CGAACGCUGGCGGCGUGCUUAACACAUGCAAGUCGACCGAUGAUGCCAGCUUGCUGGUGGAUUAGUGGCGAACGGGUGAGUAACACGUGAGCAACCUGCCCCUGACUUCGGGAUAACCGCGGGAAACCGUGGCUAAUACCGGAUAUGACGCGCUAUCGCAUGGUGGUGUGUGGAAAGAUUUAUCGGUUGGGGAUGGGCUCGCGGCCUAUCAGCUUGUUGGUGGGGUGAUGGCCUACCAAGGCGACGACGGGUAGCCGGCCUGAGAGGGUGACCGGCCACACUGGGACUGAGACACGGCCCAGACUCCUACGGGAGGCAGCAGUGGGGAAUAUUGCACAAUGGGCGCAAGCCUGAUGCAGCGACGCCGCGUGAGGGAUGACGGCCUUCGGGUUGUAAACCUCUUUCAGUAGGGAAGAAGGCCUUCGGGUUGACGGUACCUGCAGAAGAAGCGCCGGCUAACUACGUG
rnacentral:rRNA from 1 species